UGUAUGGAAACCAAUUUGACAAUAAAUUUCAUAUAUAAAGAAAAGAGACAUGGUUCUGCUGCUUCUGUGCUACCUGCACAGACGUGGACACUUAAACCUUUCAAGCCCUAAUUUCUUCAUCUGUUAAGCUGGACGUAAUGAUGCCCACCCAUGCCCACCUCACAGGUUGUUGGGAAUUCCAUGCCCUGUGUCUCUCCUCACCAGAGACCAGAGAUCUAGAAGGCGUGCGAACUGCCAGUGGGAAAACAAUUGACAGGCUCCUUGUGGGGGACACCUUGAUUAAGAGCCAAUUAGCUUCUUACAUGUCUCUGCUCUGGCCCUUCUAAGGCCCUCUGAACAGGAGCUGUCAUGAUGUGGUGGCCAUUGCUGAGCCAUGGAGAACCUGAGAGGGAGGGUCCUGAUACUUGGUUGGGCAUGAAUUCUAUCCCUUUCGUUUCUCCUCAUGUUGCAAGUCUAGCCUCCACAGACCUUCCAAUCCCAUGCCCUUCCCCUCAACACCCCCUGCCCCACCCACAUACCAACUUUCUUCGCAUCCCUCGUUGGGGCUGAUGAGUUAAGAGUUACACAUCUGUGUCCAAAAUCUCAAGCCAAGACGUGAACUCCCAAAGCUACCUCUGCAACCCCAUCUUGUUCACCAGUUCCUCAGGAAUCUCAAGCAAUUUCCAUUAUUGGCAGACACGGCGUUUCCUUGUUGCGUUCCACUUUCAUACAACUGGAGUUUGUAGACAAGAAAAAUACAGCUGUUACGCAGCACUAACUGGGCUUUUAUGUCGCUUCACAGGCAGGAGACUGGCUGUGGAGUGCCACACACCUCCUUAUCACGGCUUGCGUGCUGGGACCUCUAUUCAUUUUAUGCAUUGUGUAUCUCGGAAUUUUCCAGGAUGUGGUGAAGUCGUGUUGCUUGCUCUCAGAAUUAUGCAAAAAGCUAUUCUUUUUCUUGAGCAAGAAAUCGUAGGCACUCCAGAACCCUUUUGACUCAGGCAGAGCUAUGGGGUGGGUUUUCCACAAAAGGCAGAAGGAAUGAAUUGACACUGACUAUGUUAACUAGCCCUCCCAAGGGGAGUGGGGGCCCCUGCUCCAAGCCAAGUAUGAGGGCCAUUCUGAGGCAGGAAGCCUUUAAAAAUUCACAGUGGAGUUCAGCUCCUCUAGCUUUGGGGGUCCAUUAUGUAUUGGCUGGGAGAGCUGUAAUCAUCAGUUGCCUAUUUUUUAAAUUAAAAUAAUUAGGCCAAUGUAAUGUUCAGAAGGCCAGAAUUGACAGCCUCUGUUUGUCAGCAGCAGGGUCCAGGAGGAACUGGAGCUGUGUAGGCCCUUUGGGACUAGCAUCCUGUGAGCUGAGAGUCAGAGAAGAUAUUACCCCACAGAAGGAGGAGGAGCAGAGGCCUUCAUCCUGGAGGGAGCCCUUGGCCUUCUGCAAAAGGGGGAUAAGUCAUGCUUGUCCAGCCAUUGGGAGCAUCUUGGGAGGUUCAUGCUUCUCUCUGCUGCUUUCAGACCUCAGGACCCUUAUCAGUGGAUACACACACUGAUUUGCCUCCACGGGUAACCACUGUAGCUGCAAGUUCCCUGCAGGUGUUAAGGGAUUCUGCUCAUUUCCUCUCUGUAAUGCUUACGACACAAAAAGUUGGGAAAAGUUGGAGACAUUGCUCUAUCUGUACUUCUCUGCAUCGUGCACUGUCAUGACCCAGGAAGGAAAACCAAAAGCCUUCAGCCAUCCUCCACACAGGCAAAUUCUCACUGGCUGUUUUCUUCUAAGACUUCAACUUGAAUUUACUGGGGCUUCUCCAUCUGGAUCUACGCUGUCCAGUAGGAUUGUCACUCGUCACGUGUGUGACUAUUUAAACUUAAAUGAAUUAAAAUUAAAUCAAAUUAAAAGUGGUCAAGAGCCACUUAUGGUUAGUGGCCACAGAACUGAAAAGCAGAGAAAUGAAGCAGUUCCAUCCUUACAGAAAGUUCUGAUCUAUACCUGACUCUGAGCUCCCGACUCCCCUUUCCUCAUAUUUCCAUUCCUUUGUAAUAUACACAAGAAAACACUUUUUUUUUUUUUUUGUCUAAAGCUCUUCCUAGUCAAGGCUCCACUCAUCUCUGUGUAAAGGAAGUUUGUUCAAAGAUUUUCCCUACGACAAAGGCCCACCAUUCCACCUCUGAUAAGAAUUGCACCUCUCAGCUGGAAUGCUGAAACACAGGACUGAGUUCUCUUCUGCUUUCGGGACAGGGAUGGGAUGCAACUCAGCCCCCAGGGGGCCCAGCAGGCCAAGGCCAAGGAGGAACCUGAGUGCUGGACUUAGAUGGGCAGUCUGGAAGACUCUGUACAGACACUGAUGAUCAGAGCUGAGCAAAUCGGAAUCAGGCACUUGGGCAAAGCAUGAAAGACCAUAUCUAAAGAUUAGCAGACCGAGAGAAAUAGAAGCGAACAGUGAGGUCAGUGAAUUCAAUUCUCUUAUCUGAAGAGGAGAACCCUGAACUGGUUAAACAACCGGCACAGCUGACGAUGAAAGGCCUCAAAAUCUGUGUAAUGUCGGAAUGUAGCAAACAGAUCGACUCACAAUGAAGUGCAAGCACAUUAAAGAAAGUGCGUGGUGCUGCGGGGAGGCCUCACCAAUGAAAUAAGCACGCUUCAGAAAAAGUUUACUCUAGAAUGGAAUGGUUUUAAAUAACUCCCACUUUUCUUUUGACUUUUGGCAUAAAAUGGGACAGUUACCCUUCACAACACAGCAAGAGUUGAAACUUACGACUCCACGUGAGUGCGUGAGUGUGUUUGUGUGUGUAUGUUAACUAGAAAAAAAAUCAAGAACUUUUGUUGCUGUUGUUAAAUACCAACAAUACUCAUGUUGAAAACAAUGCAUUGGUCUACCCAGAAUGAAAGCAGUGAGGGGCACGUAGUAAGCAAUCAAUGAGUACUUGUUGAUUGAUUGAAAAUAAAUCACAAAAUAAAAAUAUAA